GGUGGAACUUGGCAUUGUUAAUGAUGGUGGCGUUGCAUUGCUUGACUUACGUGGCUUACUUGGCUAAGCGAAAGAGUAACAUACUUUACUUGUUACUUUACUUCGAUGCACCAUGAAGAAAGCUAUGGUUGCUGUUUUACGUAAUUACCUUAUUUGAUUUGAUAUUCUUAUAAAUCAUAUUCAUAAUUAUGUUCUCUUAUAAUUCUAAUAAAUACAUUUCUUGCA